rnacentral:pre_miRNA from 1 species
GCGCCCAGAGUCAUGGCAGAGUCUGGAUUUGAACUCAGGUCUGCCUAACUCUGGGCCC